rnacentral:rRNA from 1 species
AGCGGUCACCACGGAGUGAUUCAUGACUGGGGUGAAGUCGUAACAAGGUAGCCCUAGGGGAACCUGGGGCUGGAUCACCUCCUUAAACGAA